UCUUUAGGUUGGGGUAAGUUAUAGUUAUGUGGAGGAGAGAUGUUCACUCUUGUAUGUUCGCAGUUUCAUGGUGCAGCCUUUGUCGGGCAUUCGAUAGAAAUUAGCCGUUGAACCAGGUGUCGUCUGGUGUUAAUGAUUCUUGCGGGCUGUUUUCCACUCCGGCUUGAGUUUCCCCGCUUUUGAUUGUGCUUCAUGUGUAUCCAGCGUUGUUGGUAUGUCUCAGUCAUUCAGUUGCUUUAUGCCAUCUUUUGGGGUGGCUAUCGUUAUUAUAUUUCCGUCUUUUGUAAUUAGGAGCAUGGUGGGGAAACCCCACCUGUAACGGAUGCCGUUCGCCCUCAGAGCUCUGGUGACCUGGGAGAAUUAUUUCCGUCUCCGGAGUGUGGCAGCUGACAGAUCCGCAUAUAUUCGUACUGUGGAGUAAUCCUCCUGUGGCUUGGCUCUUGUUCUGCUACUUCUGAAGAUGUGUUCUUUAAUAUGGAAGUAGUGAGCUCUCAUUAGUAUAUCUCUCGGAACUAUUGGGGGAAGAUGACGAGGCUUGGGUAUACGGUGCACUCUGUCAAUUAAUAACGUAUCUCUGGGGUGUGGGCCUGAAGGUAGGUCAUUGUUGCUUAUGUCCUCUGAGACCCCCCUUAAGCGUAAGUUGUUCCAGCGUGAAUGAUCUUCUAUGUCUGCCAAUUUUUCUUCCAUUCUGUUUAAUUGUGUUGUUAGUUUCUCUACAUUGGUGGCCGUUGUGUACUUCGGCGAAUUCGUCAUACUUGUCCUCCAUAUUUGUUGUCCGCUUCCCCAGUUCUUGUAUGUCCUUUCUCACUCAUUGAAUCGGCUGUGUGCUGCCAUGUUGUUAUUAAUUUAUUGGAUAAUGUUUCCAGAGCAGCGGUUAGGUCAGCUUUGGUGAGCUGCUCAUGCCCCGCGUGCGGCGGGGCUUGAGUUCUGCAUGUUAACCUCCAAAUCAGAGGCCUCGUUGUUUGUUGAGACCUUUCCCGCCGGAGUUGCCGGGGCCGAUUUUUGGUUAAAUAAGUUGUGUUUGUUGUUUUUUGUCGAGUUCUUCUUAUUUUUUUGCUGUGACAUGUUUUUGAAUGUCGCUGGAAUAGAUAGGUGCAGCUUAUUUUAACAGGCUUGCUGUAGAUUAAAUGCCCAGGCGUCGGAGAAAAAUUCUAUGCGGCCAUCUUGCUCUGUGGUUGGCCACGCCCCCCAUACCUAAAUAUCUGAUGUUAAAUGUAAGCCCUGUUUCCCCUGAAUAAAAUGAUACAUAAUAAGUGUGGGUGCACAUAAUAUGAAAGAGGCGAAUUACGCCUGAACAGACAUAUAGUGCAAAUUCCAGUUUUUGUUUACGUUUUGUUUUGAUCACAAUGUGUACAUUUGGCUCAGUCCUUAACCCCUUAAGGACACAGCUUCAGAAGCUUGUCUUACGCUUAAUGACACAAGCAAUUUUGGCAUUUUCUUGCUGUUUGCGUUCAAUUGCAAUUUGCAUCUCUCUCGUUUAUUAUUAUUAUUAUUAUUAUAAUAUUUAAAGAGCGCCGUCAAAUUCUGCAGCGCUUUAUAAUGGGUGGACGAACAGACACAGAUAGACACAGACAGUUUAUUGCACUGACACAUAGUAUAUACUGUUUUUUAAAGGACAGAAAGGCUUUAAUUUGAUGUAACAUACAUAUAUAUAUAAAUGCAUAUUGAUUAUAAAAAAAAUACAGAAAAAUGCAAAAAAAAUGAAAAAUGUGUUGUUUUUGCAAUAAUAAUGUGUGCAUAAGUAGUGCAGGUUAACCCCUUAAGGACAGAGCUUCAAAAGCUUGUCUUUCACUUAAUGACAACGGCAUUUUUUUCAUUUUUUGCUGUUUGCGUUCAACUGCAAUUUGCAUUUUACUAAUUUGUUGCACCAACACAUAUUAUACAUUGUUUUUUAAAGGACAGAAAGGGCUUUAAUUUGAUGUAACACACAUAUAUAUAAAUGCUUAUCUAUUAUAAAAAAAUACAGAAAAAUGUAAAAAAAAUGAAAAUUUUGUGGUUUUUUUUACAGUUUUUGCAAUAAUGUGUGCAUAAUUAGUGCAGGUUAAGAAAAGUAAUUGCAAAAGAAUAAUAAGCGCUCUCUUCUCAGGGAUAAGCUGCAGUUCACCAACAAGGUGUUCCUCUACCUUGUGAUAAAUGGACAGAUAAAAUAGAAAGGUGAACAGCGCUAAAAAUCAGAAAAUGUACAUACGUUUUGUAGAAAUACUGGCCAGCAGAGUAGCUUAAAAAAAGAGAGAAACAAAAAUACAAAUAAUGGUACAGUAUGUAUGAACGAUAUAAUUCCACAAGAACAAAGAUGUUAUAUUCACACUCACACUUUGAGGAGCUAUAUCAGCUCGGUGUUAAGAGCCUGGACGGAAUAAUCCCCGUCUAUGGAUUUCUUGAGGUUCAAGACCGUUGGUGAAUUUAUAGUUGUAAAUAUUCGUUACAUGAAAAACAAGAGUAAAAUACACCACAUGGUAUAGUACGUAAAUAUAAAAUAUUGUGAAAAAAAAAAGUGGAUGAUCCUACUUACAUAUACUAGAGCAACGACCUGCUCUAGUUUGGAGAAUUUCAGGUGGAAUAAUCCCCACCUUGGGAUAUAGUGGACCCAGGUAUAGCAGCAAAGCAGUAUUGGAUAGGAAGGAGGACAAAAGGAAUGACUGGAUAGUUUAAAAAAUAUAUAUACUUUAAUACAAUAAGUGAAAAGUGAAUAAUAAACUAUAAAACCAGUCCUGUAUAAAAGUCCAAAAUUCUUCCUCACUUGACGCGUUUCGCCGAAGCUUUCUCAAAAGUGAAUGCUUGCUGCUUGGGGUCCUUGAGAUUAUAUACCUUCUCUGAUGAUGAAAAUCGAUUCUGCUGUGCAUAUUUCCUCAUUUCCUGUUUUCAGCAAGAUAGCAUAGACAGGAAGUUCUCCGGACACCAUCUUGGAUGUGGGCAAUUUGUGGGAAAGUUCAAAAAUAGGAAUCAAAGGUAUACAAUAACAUAAUAACAUAUUGAAUCAGAUAAAAACGUGAAUAAUUACAGAUGUGGGCACACAUAGAGUAUAUGGUAGUGGAAAUCGAUUCUACUAUGUGUAUUUCCUCAUUUCCUGUUUUCAGCAAGAUAGCAUAAACAGGAAGUUCUCCGGAUGCCAUCUUGGAUAUGGGCAAUUUGUGGGAAGUUCAAAUAUAGGGAUCAAAAAUAUACAAUAACAUAAUAACAUAUUGAAUCAGCUAAUAACUUGAAUAAUUACAGAAAUGGAUACACAUAGAGCAUAUAAUUACUUGAUAGUGUCAUAAACGAAACUGUUCCGGCCGCCAUUUUAGAUAUGGGCUAGUGAUAGAAAUUGAGCUCAAAGGAUGCCAUAUCGAAAAAGGACAUACUUUAAAUGGAAAGGGGACAUGUAUAUACAGCUAGGGGAAAUAUAAAUAGUAUAAAAACACAGUAGUAUCUGCAUAAAAGGGUGUAAAAGAAUUUAUAAACACCCAUUGAAAAUGGGUUAUAGAACGAGUGAUAAAAAAUAAAUUUUACAAAAUGAAUUAUAAGAAAUGAACCAAAUCGAAUUCUAUAUUAAGUCCAUUUGGGUGGAGGGUAUCUAAACGAUAGACCCACUCCAUUUCUAACUUGCCUAUGUUUCUGAUGGUGUCGCCCCCUCUCCAAUGUGGUUUAUAUUUAGCAAUACCCAAAAAAUUUAAUAGGCUGGGGUCUUUGUUGUGCUGUAAAAAGUGCGCAGAUACAGAGUGAUUUUUGUAGCCUUUUUCAAUAUUACGGCAGUGUUCACUAAUUCUUACUUUCAAUGGUCUUAUUGUUCUGCCGACGUAUUGUAGUCCACAUGGACACUCUAACAUGUAGAUUACGUUAUUACUAUUACACGUUAAAAUUUCAUUAAUGUUAAAGAGCUUUUUGUUUCUGUUAGACUUAAACUCUGAUGUGCAUUUUUCCAUUUUGUGUGUUUUUCUACAUGAUAUGCACGUGUUACAUCUAAAAAACCCUUUAUUGAUAGUUAAAAAAUUGUUUUUUUGUAUGUUUUGAUUUCUAGUGAAAUUAUUUGUAAGUUGUAGUUUUAGAUUAGGUGCACCUCUAUAUAUUAUAGUGGGUUUAUCUGGUAGGGCUUCACUUAGUAUUGGAUCCUCUUUAAGUAAAUGCCAAUUUUUGUUAAUAAUCUUUUUGAUAUGUUUGUUUUUAUUAUUAUAGUCGAAUAUCAAAGGAAGGGUGAAUCUGUUGGUUUGAGGGUCCUUAGGUGGUUUUUGGAGCAAUAGUGAUUCUCUCUGUGUCUCAUCUAUUGAUAUUAUAGUUUUGUCUAUUGUUUUGGGGUUGUAGCCUUUUUGUAUGAACUUUUGUUUCAUGUUAGUUGCUUGAGUGUGAAAUACUGAUGCUUCUGAGCAGUUUCUUUUCAGUCUGAGGAAUUGGCUUUUGGGUAUUCCAUUAAGCCAUAUGGGGUUGUGGCAGCUAUCAUAGCUGAUAAAGGUAUUAGUAUGUACUUCCUUAAAAUGUGUUUUAGUGCAAAGUGUGUUCUCUUUAACAUAGAGUUCUAAAUCUAAAAAGGUUACUGUAUGAUUACUAAAAUUGGAAGUUAAAAUUAUACCUUCAUUAUUCUGGUUUAAGUAAUUAAUGAAGGAUUCCGCUGAAGACAUGGGUCCUUCCCAUAUAAAGAGGAGAUCAUCGAUAUAGCGAUGAUAUGAGACCAGGUUCGCGCACCAGCUAUGCCCCUCCCAUAUCCAUCUGUUUUCCCAUUCCGUCAUGAAUAGGUUGGCAUAGCUGGGCGCAAACCUGGUCCCCAUGGCUGUCCCUGUUAUCUGAAGGUAAAAAGCGUCUGCGAACCAAAAAUAGUUGUGGUGUAAAAUAAGAUCAAUUCCCUUUAAAAUAAAUUCGAUUUGAGCAGAAUCCAUAUCUUUAUAUUUUUCUAAAAUUGAUUUAACCGCUGAGAUCCCUUUUUCAUGUGGGAUGAUUGUAUAUAGUGAUUUUACAUCACUAGUAAUGAGAAUGUAAUUUUCUUUCCAGGUGAUAUUAUUUAGUGUGUUAAGGAGAUCUAUGGUGUCUUUUAAAUAGGAUUUGCUUAAUUUCACAUAUGGCUGGAGCAUAAUGUCAAUAUAUUCUGAAAGAUUUGCCAGAAUUGAAUCUAUGCCGGAGACGAUAGGCCUUCCGGGUGGGUUGAUGGGGUCUUUGUGGAUCUUAGGUAGAAAAUAUAUUACAGGGAUCUUGGGGUAUAGUGUAUUAAUAUAAUCAAAUUCUUUUAAGGUCAAAAUCCCCUUCUCUUUACCCUCUCUUAGAAGAUUUGUUAGUAAAAUCCUAAUAUCACUUGUGGGAUCUUUUUUUAAUUUAGUGUACGUUUGUGGGUCAUUGAGUUGUUUAUAGGCUUCAGUCUCAUACAUCUCCUUUGAUAGAAUAACUAGUCCACCACCCUUGUCAGCCGGUUUUAUUACAAUGGAUUCAUCUUCUUUUAAAAGUUUGAUGGCUUCCCUUUCUUUUUUAUUUAAAUUGAAUUUAUCAUAUUUAUGGUUAAUUUUUAGUUUACCAAGUUCUCUAUUUACCUUCUUUUCAAAAAUUUCUAAUGCCCCAGAUUUGUAAUAGGAUGGAUAAAAAGUUGAUCUUUUUUUUAAAAGGCUAUUUUUAUAAACAUUUGUAUUUGAAUCAAUUUCAGUUAUAAUUUUAUUUUCUUCUAAGUUUUUAGAUGCAUAAAAUCUUUUCAAAGUCGCAUUUCUUAUAAAUUUAUUUACAUCAAUAAAAGCCUGAAAACUAUUAAAAGUUUUAGUUGGUGCGUAUUUAAGUCCCUUUUUUAAAACAUUUAUUUGUAUGCUGGUUAGUACUUUAUUAGACAAGUUGAAGACGCCAUGCUUGUUUUUUCAUCUGUAUUUAAAAUCGGUCUGAUCUGACUUUUUUUAUUGCGGUCAUGUUUUCUUCCUGCUCUUCUUCCUCUAGGGAUCUUUUCUGGCCUAUGAUGGGAGUGAAGGGAAGAUGGUUCGUACGUAAUUCUUGAUUUAUGGGGAUCUCUAAAAAAGACGUCUCGUCUAGGUGUUCGGAAAAAGAUAAAGUAUGGUACCUAUUAUUUCUUAAUACGUCAGUGGGCGAUCUAGAGCGGCUUCUCUCAGUUUUUUUAUAUGUUUUAGUAUUGACUUUUUCCCAUCUGUAGUUCUCUUUGUCAGUUUUUCUCUUUGGGGAUGUUGGUCUGUAAGCAUAUCUGUGAGUUUUUGGUCUUACUAUUUGGGGUGAUUUUUCCCUUGAUUUUGAUCUGUAUCGUUUACUUUCAGUUUUGUUGGUUAUGGUUUUUGUGUAGAUUUUUUCUUUUUGAAAUUUGCCUUGUUUUGGUAUAUUGUCAACUCUUGCUUUAUUAGCAUAUGUGUCAAAGGUUCUGGGGGAUCUUGUGUAUUGGUGUAUAGGGGAGUGCUUUUUGGCUUUGUAAUGAUUAAGGUGCAUAGGUUCGUGGUAUGAUCGGAGUCUCUGUCUGUGAAAAUUACUUUUAACAGGCGAAUAUGUGGGUUUGUGCAUGUCGUGCUGGUGAUGAUUUCUUAUGUGUGUAUUAUUUCCAUUGUUGUAACGUUUCUUUGUGUUAUAGGUCCUAACUUGAUUGUGUGUGUAAUCAUAUACAUCUCUAUUAUAUUUGCUUAUCUUGAAUUUUUUUAUGUCACUUUCUAUUCUUUCAACGUUUUUCUUAAUCUUCAGUGAUAUAUCGAAAAACUCCUGUGUGUCACUGAAGGGGGUGAGUUGUUCUUUUAGUGAAUUUAUUUUUUUAUCUAGGGUGGUUAGUUUCUAAUUUUUUACUUGAAUAAGGUAUUUCAUUAGUCCAAAAGUGCAUGUCUCUAGAUGUUUAUACCAAUCUGACAUAAAAGAUACAUUAUCUGUAUCUGAGGUGGGCAUUUUAAAAAGUCUCAGACCUCUUGGGGUGAUAUUUUCCUGUAUAUAUUUACUUAGUGUAGCCACCUCCCAUUUUAGUUUCAUCUCUUUGAUGAGGGAACUUUCUAAUUCUUUUAGAAGUUCCUCUAUAUUAUCGAAUUUUAUAAGUGGUUCUUCUAUGAUAUCCUCAUGAUUAAUAUUGUUAAAAAUAUCAUUGACAUCUAUACAAUAAUUGUCUCUAUACUCAAAAAGAGACAUAUUCAACACAGAAGGAGCUAGCUUAUAAAGGAACUGAAAGUAUCAAAUGCAAAAGAAUAAUAAGCGCUCUCUUCUCAGGGAUUCCUAUUUUUGAACUUUCCCACAAAUUGCCCACAUCCAAGAUGGUGUCCGGAGAACUUCCUGUCUAUGCUAUCUUGCUGAAAACAGGAAAUGAGGAAAUAUGCACAGCAGAAUCGAUUUUCAUCAUCAGAGAAGGUAUAUAAUCUCAAGGACCCCAAGCAGCAAGCAUUCACUUUUGAGAAAGCU
rnacentral:lncRNA from 1 species